rnacentral:misc_RNA from 1 species
AAUUCUCAAAAGAACCCAGGUUUCGAUCAGGGCUCUUUUGGACUGUGAGGGCUGCUGGUCUCCCUAGAUCAGACUCCCUUUAAAUACAUUAGUGGUUACCGAUCCGCUUCCACUUAGGUGUGAUAGGUCUAUCUACGCCGCUUGGAAUGAUCAGUUGCUAUCCGCUCCCUAACCUUGUCCGUCUUAGGACAAAGCUUCAUUGACA